rnacentral:rRNA from 1 species
GGCUAAUACCGGAUAACACAUGAAACCGCAUGGUUUCAUGAUGAAAGACGGUUUUGCUGUCACUUAUAGAUGGACCCGCGGCGUAUUAGCUAGUUGGUAAGGUAACGGCUUACCAAGGCAACGAUACGUAGCCGACCUGAGAGGGUGAUCGGCCACACUGGAACUGAGACACGGUCCAG